GAGCGGUAACGCGGGAGCAAUCCUGGCGACGAGCGGCGGACGGGUGAGCAAUGCUUGGGAAUCUGCCCAGUAGUGGGGGACAACCCGGGGAAACUCGGGCUAAUACCGCAUACGUCCUACGGGAGAAAGCGGGGGUCGCAAGACCUCGCGCUAUUGGAUGAGCCCAAGUCGGAUUAGCUAGUUGGUGGGGUAAAGGCCCACCAAGGCGACGAUCCGUAGCUGGUCUGAGAGGACGACCAGCCACACCGGAACUGAGACACGGUCCGGACUCCUACGGGAGGCAGCAGUGGGGAAUAUUGGACAAUGGGGGCAACCCUGAUCCAGCGACGCCGCGUGGGUGAAGAAGGCCUGCGGGUUGUAAAGCCCUUUCGGUGGGGAAGAAACGGAGAGGGCUAAUAUCCCUCGCUAAUGACGGUACCUGAAGAAUAAGCACCGGCUAACUACGUG
rnacentral:rRNA from 1 species